UUUUUUUUUUGAAGGGAUCCUAAAACAACCGCUGGGUUUCCCCUUAAAACUGACCAUCUCAUAAAGAAAAAAUGAAAGGUUUUCAUCCAAAACAAGUGGUGUUCUCUCGUCUCGUGAUUAUCAGAAUCCUAAGGGUUUCAUUUUUUCCCUCAACACCAGAUCUCUCGUUCCAUACAAAACUAUUAUUUUCAGCACUCUCAUCGUAUCUAGAUUAACAAUCAAACCCUAACUUCUUUCUAACCGAUGACUCUUUUCUUCUUCAAAUUUCAGCAUUUUUGUUCUUUUCUUCAUCAUUCUCGUUACAAUCUCGAGCAUCAACUUCAUCAGGUUUGGAAGAUCUAGGUGAAUAUAUACCGCAAUAUACCAGUGAAGAUCGUCCAAGAAUCAUAUUGAUCUUUUAACUGUUACCCUGUUCAGUCAUUUUUGAGGGGACUAAGGAGAUUUUUUCAUUUUAAUUUUACUGUAGCUGUCAGAGAUCGUAGCUUAAAUAAUGUUGUGGAAGUGGAGCAGAUGUAGCAUUUCCUAUGUGAUUUGGGAUAUCAUUGCAAACUGAUUCCUAUUUGCGUGAAUAUGAAUUUGUACCUUUGCCAGAAUUGUAAGCGGUCUUCAUUUCCUAGAUUAAAUCACCGUUCUCCUUUGUGCUGCUCAUCCAACAUGAACCAAAUCAUCUGCAGUAUAAUGAUGGAGUAUUCCGGUCAGUGCAACUACUAACAUUGCGGUCUAAUGAUGGAGUAUGCUAGUCAGUGCAACUAUUAACAACUCCUGAACAACUUUUAGGACCUUUAGAUCACCUUUAUAAACCCAGGGUGCAACUUUACAGACCUCAGACUAAUUGUAAGUACUUGUUCUUCCUUAAUUUUUCAUUAUAAAAUUUGGAAAACUUUCUUAAACAAAUAUGUGAAUUAGGGUUAUAAUUGUCAUUUGUAUUGUAAUUUCCAUACAUUUUAGCUAAUGUGAAUUUUUUUCCAUGAAUGCAAGUAUAACUUUUUGUAUUCAAUGUUUGAACUUGAACUGAUUUGCACUAUCUUGUCUUUAAUCUGUUAAUUGAGUUUGCAUGUUAUUAUGAUAAUAUCUUAAUUACAGUUCAAGCUUUCAAUAAACUUGACCAUUUUUCGAUGUGUUAUGCUUGGUGGUGUUUGUUUUGAUUGUUUAGCAGGAUUUUGUGGCCUGAAAAUGGACUGCUGGUGUGGAUUUAGCAAAAAAUAGGUGUAAUUUGAAGUAUCAUUUUUAUUAGAGUUUGAGAUUGUGUAGAUUUAGUUUAUAAUUUUUUAUUAUUGUGUAAAUCACUGUACUCUGAAACAUAUUUAUAUUUAUGAAAUUUGAAAUCUUUGUUCGGAGAUCA